UGUUGACAGAAAUUGUAGCAGAUGUAGGAGAUGGAACAACAGAAGAGAUUGGAGAUUGAAAACUUCGGAACUCAUUCAUUUAAAAAGCCCCGCAAGCUUUUGCUCGCGUGGUUUCACCUUAAAAUUCCCAUCUUUAGAAGAAGUAAUUGUAAAAGAUGCCCAAUAUGUGGAUAUUCUCUGCUGGAGCAUUAAGCACACCAAAGCUGCAAUGUGUACAAGUGGCAGUAGUACAUUUUGGAAAUUGGCUUUGGAAGGGAAACGUCAAUGCCACCACACAACA
rnacentral:misc_RNA from 1 species